rnacentral:rRNA from 1 species
UUUCGGGAGGCCCAGCAGUAGGGAAUCUUCCGCAAUGGACGAAAGUCUGACGGAGCAACGCCGCGUGAGUGAUGAAGGUUUUCGGAUCGUAAAGCUCUGUUGUUAGGGAAGAACAAGUACCGUUCGAAUAGGGCGGUACCUUGACGGUACCUAACCAGAAAGCCACGGCUAACUACGUGCCAGCAGCCGCGGUAAUACGUAGGUGGCAAGCGUUGUCCGGAAUUAUUGGGCGUAAAGGGCUCGCAGGCGGUUUCUUAAGUCUGAUGUGAAAGCCCCCGGCUCAACCGGGGAGGGUCAUUGGAAACUGGGGAACUUGAGUGCAGAAGAGGAGAGUGGAAUUCCACGUGUAGCGGUGAAAUGCGUAGAGAUGUGGAGGAACACCAGUGGCGAAGGCGACUCUCUGGUCUGUAACUGACGCUGAGGAGCGAAAGCGUGGGGAGCGAACAGGAUUAGAUACCCUGGUAGUCCACGCCGUAAACGAUGAGUGCUAAGUGUUAGGGGGUUCCGCCCCUUAGGGCAACCCC